rnacentral:rRNA from 1 species
UACGUAGGGUGCGAGCGUUAAUCGGAAUUACUGGGCGUAAAGCGUGCGCAGGCGGUUCGUUGUGUCGGCGGUGAAAGCCCCGGGCUUAACCUGGGAAUGGCCGUUGAAACUGGCGAACUGGAGUGUGGCAGAGGGGGGUGGAAUUCCACGUGUAGCAGUGAAAUGCGUAGAGAUGUGGAGGAAUACCGAUGGCGAAGGCAGCCCCCUGGGAUAACACUGACGCUCAUGCACGAAAGCGUGGGGAGCAAACAGG